rnacentral:lncRNA from 1 species
UAAUCUAGAUAUUUUCAAGCAGAGAUUGGAUGACAAAUUAUCAGAGAUUUUAUAGAAGAGAUUCCUGAUCAGGAAAGGGCUAUCUAUAUUCACAGUGUCUUUUUGGAAUAGUGGACCACUUGCCCUGCUGGCUUUGCAACCAGUAAGUAUACAGAAUGGAUAAGAGUCAACAGGUAUUUAAUAAAUACUUUUUAAGUGAUUCA